UACGGAGGGUGCAAGCGUUGCUCGGAAUUAUUGGGCGUAAAGGGUAGGUAGGUGGUCUUAUUUGUUUGAGGUGAAAUCCUUGGGCUUAACCUGAGAAGUGCCUCAAAAACGGUAAGACUAGAGUUCUGGAGAGGGUCGUGGAAUUCCCGGUGUAGCGGUGAAAUGCGUAGAGAUCGGGAGGAACACCAGAGGCGAAGGCGGCGACCUGGACAGAUACUGACACUCAACUACGAAAGCGUGGGGAGCAAACAGG
rnacentral:rRNA from 1 species